CUGGGAUUUGGGCAUACUUCUGAUGAAUAAAGAAGAUGGCAUGAUGCCUCCAGAGGCUUGGAAUGCAGGACAACAAGUUUGCUCCAAAACAAACGUCAUGUACAAUAUAUGUAUAAGCCAAGGGACUCUGUUAGGCAACUUCCUGAACUUGAGAUUACACUCUUCACCGUGAAGUCCUCAAAGAGUUCAGUGGCUGCCCAUGCAGAAGACACAAUUAAGAUGAUCUUCAGGGGGUAUUUUGAAGGAUCUGUGGACAAACCAUAGAUGGUCAGACUGUAAGAAGAUAACUGUCAAGAUCCUCUGUCAAGCUCUGACCUUGUACUGCUCUUUCAGUGGCAGAAUCGGAGAGUCAGUGCAAGAAGAUGGAUGAGGUCCAUGCAAGCAAUGGGAACAUCAGAGAUAAUAAGAAUAUGUUCAAGGAGUUUCUUCUUUGGAAAGAGUCAGUUGCCCUGUGCAAUCACACGUACCUGGAGGGUGUACAAAUACUUUAAAUCUGUUUCAGAUGAGCACACUUGAAAGGAAGAUUUCCAACUCUGUUGACCACACAAGUGAAGUCUGGGCAGUGACCAUAGAGUAAGAUGUGGAAGAGGUCUGGAUAUACAGAGCAAGAGGAAGGCUGAGAAAGAACCAGCAAGGAGUGUCUCUGUCUCCUGUCACUGCAGACAAGGCUGACUGGCAAAAGCUCUUUCACAAAGUGCAAGAAGAAUCGCUGCUCCAAAGUGCAUCACUCAACCUGUCACCUGGGCAUCCUGAGCUACACUGGAAAACAGAAACAAAGUAAUGGGUGUGAGAAGUUAAUUAAUUCAAGAAUUAGAAGAGUUGAGAAAUGGGACCCUUCAGAAGUGUGACCCAGAUAAGAUUCUCCUAUGCCAUAAAUCAUUCAUUAUUGUUUAGAGUUUUCCCUCUCCACGUUUGACCUUCAUCAUCAUUCUCUCUCUUGUGUCUGGGUGUCAUCACAAAAGCAGUGGGUAUGUGGUUGGAAGCACAGAGGACAUAUUCAAUAGUGUUUCCCUGCAUGGUUGCAUUUUUAUGGAACAGGAAAGAAACAAUGAAAACUGAACUGAAUUUGCUGUCUAGCAUUUCUCUCAGAACCAUGUGAGGUAGACAGCUCUUCAAAGAGAAGAAAGUUUAGCUUGUGACAUUCCCAAUUAAGCCCUUCAUCUUGGAGAUAAUUAACCAGUGUUAGAGGCUUCCCAGACCUGGACAGAAAAGGAUACAUCCUACAACAGUAAAUGUCCAUUUGAAAAUGCACUGCUUUUCCCUGUUGUACUUGUCCUGGGCAUUUAGCAUGGGCUGACAUGGUGAAUACUUUAAACAGACAAUUAGUUCCGCACAGUGCAGAUUUGAGUUCAGGCCAUACCUGCAUUAAAAAAAAAUGUGGCUCUUCUGACACAGUUUUGGUGGCUGAGAUUCAGAGCAUGUGGUUUGACUUUUGGAUGGUCCUGUGGGGAGCAAGGAGUUGGACUCAAUGAUCAUUAUGAACCCCUUCAAACUGGGGAUAUUCUGUGAUUUUAUUAUCUUCUUCUGGGCAAAGCAGUGCUAAAGGACUAGUCUUUGCUCCCCACUACACCACUCUGAAUCCAGAGUAGUUCUGUGCAAUUCACUCUCAGAUGCCCUUGAAUACCAGCCAGUUUCCCCAGGAGUGGGGAGAUAGUGGGCUGUGCCACAAUGUAUGUACACCCCAAAUCCUGAGGCUGGCUGGAGGCAGGCUUAACCCCUGGUGCAAUUCAGAACAGCCUCGGGGCUGCUCUGGGUUGUGCUGUUUUUUGACAGUCCCUCUGGGGUUGCCCUUUCUUGGCAUGCCUCUGAAAUGCCACCUUGGAAGAGGAGAAGGAGGAAAGGGUGAGGGGGAAGUGUUGCAUAGACCUACCUACUUAUACUUACCUACACAGAGUGCAAUCCAGCUGACAUCAGCCUGAAAACCCACCUACUGACAGUGGUGUAAGAGACUUUUGUGGGGAAGACCUUGCAGUUGGUCUGAUGCUUUUGUUAAGGUAGGAUUUAAAACUAAUUUAUUUAAUUCCUGUUUUUAACUUUCCAUAUAAGCUCUGAGAAUAAGUUUGUAUUGCAAGUGGAGAUAUAAACUCAUUCCACCAUGGAGUGAGUAUAUGACCAUCAUCACCUUGUGUCUUAGCAAGCAGAGCCCACGAUCAUUUUACAAAAUGUUCCUCCAAGAGAAAAAUUCCUGGGGCACCUGCUGGUGCUACACUAUCCAGCCACAUCAUUCAAAAACCAAGGUGCUUCAGAUAAUACUUCCAAAUUACUAAUCAACGACAUUGGUAGUAUUAACUAGUACAGGCUUAAUAAUAUAAUAUAAUUUAAUGACAGCUACUUUCAUCUAAGUCACUUAUAGUACUUACAUACUUACAGAGCAGAAUGUAAGACUUAAUAUACAAGCAGUAAUUAUUUAUUCCUCUAUCAAUCUUGUCUCCUGUUGAUUUAUUACCCUAUCAACAUCAACGAAGAUACAGUAGACAGUCCCCUCAUUUGUCCUGUUCCCCUCAUUUUCUCUGUUCAUCAUUUUAAUUUGAUAUUUUGUUAGUUGAGGUGCAAAUAUUUAAGUCUCCCUAAAAUUGACUGUUCUGUAGCUAGGUAUGUGUCCUAGUUAUUGCCCCUUGGACAUCUUUCCCACUGUGUGAAAUCUUGACUCCAACUGUGAACUUCUGCAGAAAUAAUUGACCACCAUGUCCACAGAAAAAUAAGUGGAAGAGGUUCUUCUUAUUCUAUGAUUCUAGAUACCCCCCAGAUCCUGCUUCCAAACACAAGGGAUUAGGCAUGAUUUUGUGUUUAUAGAGCACAGACUGUAGCAAGAUCUUCUUAAGAUCUCCAGUUGUUACAAUAAUAUGAUUACUGAAUACAACUCUUCGCAGUGUUAGCUACUGGGGAAGGUUUGGGGUGAUUAGGAACACAGGGAAAGUAGGCAAUCUGGAUGAGUUUAGAAUUAUGUACUUAAAAAAAAAAAAAAAAUACAACCCCAAAUUCUUGCUUGUCUUUUCAUCAUACAUUUUGUUGUUAAUCUCUA
ensembl:lncRNA